GCUUCUUCUGUGAAUACUUUCUCCGUUUUUCCUGGACUUUCAAGCUCAUCCGCGCACCUCUUCUCAGAGGUUUUUCAAGUUUCCUAUCGCCAGCCUCUGUCUUUUCUUCACUCAACAAUUUCAGCUCAUUCAAUCUUUUUGGUUCUUCCACAGACAUUUGUUCAGGACCUGUAAUGCUGCCGUUUAGUCCCACAUUUCUAUAAUCGUCAGCUUUGAGCGGUUUUUUUGGGGGGCUUUAAAGCAGAAGUCAGGUCUUGAGCAGUCCUGCUGUUAGGACUCUUAGCAGCCAUACCACAGAC
rnacentral:lncRNA from 1 species